ACACUAAUUUGCAUUCCCUCAGAAAUAUAUAUCUUAAUUAAAUUUAAUAUGUUUUUAUGUAUAUAGUUAACAAAGUCACAGUGAACAUAUUAGGGUUAUUGUGAGAGCAUUAAAAACAUCUGAAAGUAGUAAAUGUCGUUCAUUUUUUAUGACAAAGAACUAGUAAUUAUCUUAAUUCAUAGAAAUCUAUCGAUUACAGCUUACGCAAUUCUAUGUGAAUUUCUUUAUUUUCUAGGUAUGUAAAACAAACGGAAUCCCGCUUUGUUGUUGUUGUUCCUGAUUAAUUGCUGCUGAACUUUACUGGGUGACGCUGUUUGACCACUCUGUGUUGGUUGGUCCCGUCACUGGCUGCGUGCCCUCAAGCUGCUGGCUGGAUCGACAUCGAGUGGACAACGGGUAGAGUACAUGACGAUGUUCAUCUACGUUGUUAAACCACGUGGGAUUGUAGAAGCCGUGUCCCAGCAGGUGUACCUGACUCUCCAGUGCAGACGCACGUGCCGAGGUCGGUAAGCCAGCGGACUUUCCGUCGGAGCUAAACCAGUUCCUCAGCCGGCGAGCUUCUGAGUACGACGCGGAUGUGGAGUGGCUCUUCCAACGGAACACAACGUUCGUCGACUUCAUGGAAUUACUCACAUCUCAGUUGCUGGUGCUGUUGCUGCCGGGAAGCUGCGACCCUCUGUCACUGUCCACUGCAUCUUGCAAAAGCCGAAAAACAGCCCAAGUCUGGAAGAGGGUGAGCGGCGGUGGUUUGACCGGUGUCCACCGCAGAUGGAAGAUUGGGGGGAGGGGGAGCGCAUCAAACAUCUCUGCAGCAUCAGCUUGGUGCGUGCAGGGCUGCAGCAAGCAGAGGUAUUCUUCUCGAUCUGGACCAACUGUUUAAUAGUUACCAAACAAGCUUACCAACUCAUUCCAACGCAGCCAGAAAAAAUCCCCAUUCGAUUCUACUUGUAGAAGAUGAUGUUCCCACGUUUCCAGAUUCGUUAAGACAAGACAGGCAACUGGAACAACUGUCUCUCGUCGUUCUCAGGGCCAAGAAGAUGGAUCGGUGGGUUAAGUUGCAGACGUGCUGGGGUUCACCGCCGACAGCCGUAGCUGGAAGAUGGUUUUAUUUGGAGUUCCUACAAGACUAGUGAUCCGGGCUAAAUCUAUGGCGUAACACGUGUGGACGGAUAAGGACCAGUUCCUGCAGACGAAAGCACUGUGAACCGGAUGUCAAGUGA